GGGCAUUCGGAGAUCAGGAUUUUGGAGUCGGAGAGCAGGGUUUUGGAGUCGGAGAGCUCGUUUCAAGCUCCUUUGAAAGGUAUAGAAUUGAAUUCAUAGGAUUUGGGAGGACUUUUGGCAAUCAUUGUUGAAAGUCAGUGUUUGUAUUGAUGAAUUGGGUUUUUGCAAUAAAGUUAAGGUUGAUACUCUUGACUGUUUUGUGAAAUCAAAGAAACUUUUGCGGUUGAAAUUUAGAGGUGUCUAGAGGGUUGAAUAUGUCGAGUGCAUGCAAAAAGUUGUGUUAAUCUGACGGAACAGAUAGAGGAUAUUUAACUAUUAGUGUAAUGAGGUAUCGAAAGUUAGUAGAUUGGAGUUGUUGAGGGUUUCUGUAAU
rnacentral:lncRNA from 1 species